rnacentral:rRNA from 1 species
CAGUCGCCACGGUAAUACGAAGGGGGCUAGCGUUGUUCGGAAUUACUGGGCGUAAAGGGCGCGUAGGCGGCCAUUCAAGUUAGAUGUGAAAGCCCUGGGCUCAACCUAGGAAUUGCAUUUGAUACUGUUUGGCUUGAGUUCGGGAGAGGUGAGUGGAAUUCCCAGUGUAGAGGUGAAAUUCGUAGAUAUUGGGAAGAACACCAGUGGCGAAGGCGGCCCACUGGACCGACACUGACGCUGAGGCGCGAAAGCGGGGGGAGCAGACAGGAUUAGAUACCCGCGUAGUCCCUGUCUCUUAUAC